rnacentral:tRNA from 1 species
CGGCCCGUUGCGGGUCCGGGACACGCCCAUCUCCGAGAUGGGCUUCGUCGGUGCCGCGGUCGGUGCCGCCGCGGUCGGCAUGCGGCCGGUCGCC